rnacentral:snoRNA from 1 species
UGGCUGUGAUGACAAGAACAUACAUUUCUCGAUGCUGAGACUUGAUUGUUCAAGGACCAAAUUUGAUGAGCUAUGUGCGUGUCUGAGCCAG